rnacentral:rRNA from 1 species
AUACGUAGGGGGCGAGCGUUAUCCGGAAUUAUUGGGCGUAAAGGGUGCGUAGGCGGUUUUUUAAGCGCGGGGUGAAAGGCAAUAGCUUAACUAUUGUUAGCCCUGCGAACUGGGAGACUUGAGUGCAGGAGAGGAAAGCGGAAUUCCUUGUGUAGCGGUGAAAUGCGUAGAUAUUAGGAGGAACACCAGUGGCGAAGGCGGCUUUCUGGACUGUAACUGACGCUGAUGCACGAAAGUGUGGGGAGC